AGGGACUUCGGUCCUGAGUAAAGCGGCGGACGGGUGAAUAUCGCGUAGGUAACCUGCCCUUCAGCGGGGGAUAACGGUCCGAAAGGACCGCUAAUACCGCGUACGUAUCUCGGGGCUCCGGCCCUGGGGUGGAAAGCUAGGUAGCAAUAUCUGGCACUGAAGGAGGGGCCUGCGUCGCAUCAGCUAGUUGGUGGGGUAACGGCCUACCAAGGCGAAGACGCGUAGCUGGUCUGAGAGGAUGAUCAGCCACACUGGGACUGAGACACGGCCCAGACUCCUACGGGAGGCAGCAGUGGGGAAUAUUGGACAAUGGGCGCAAGCCUGAUCCAGCCACGCCGCGUGAGUGAUGAAGGCCUUCGGG
rnacentral:rRNA from 1 species